rnacentral:rRNA from 1 species
AGUCGAGGGGUAACAGAGAAAAGCUUGCUUUUUUGCUGACGACCGGCGCACGGGUGCGUAACGCGUAUACAAUCUGCCUUAUACAGAGGGAUAGCCUUUAGAAAUGAAGAUUAAUACCUUAUAGUCUAUAUAUAUAGCAUUAUAUAAAUAGUAAAGCUUCGGUGGUAUAAGAUGAGUAUGCGUCCUAUUAGUUAGUUGGUGAGGUAACGGCUUACCAAGACAACGAUAGGUAGGGGCCCUGAGAGGGGGAUCCCCCACACUGGUACUGAGACACGGACCAGACUCCUACGGGAGGCAGCAGUGAGGAAUAUUGGACAAUGGAGGCAACUCUGAUCCAGCCAUGCCGCGUGCAGGAAGACGGCCCUAUGGGUUGUAAACUGCUUUUAUAUAGGAAGAAACCUUUUCACGUGUGAGAAGCUGACGGUACUAUAAGAAUAAGGACCGGCUAACUCCGUGCCAGCAGCCGCGGUAAUACGGAGGGUCCGAGCGUUAUCCGGAAUCAUUGGGUUUAAAGGGUCCGUAGGCGGGAAUCUAAGUCAGUGGUGAAAUCUUGCAGCUCAACUGUAAAAUUGCCAUUGAUACUGGAUUUCUUGAAUUAGUGUGAAGUGGUUAGAAUGUGUAGUGUAGCGGUGAAAUGCAUAGAUAUUACACAGAAUACCAAUUGCGAAGGCAGAUCACUAACACCUAUAUUGACGCUGAGGGACGAAAGCGUGGGGAGCGAACAGGAUUAGAUACCCCGGUAGUCCACGCCGUAAACGAUGGAUACUAGCUGUUCCGUCUUCGGACUGAGUGGCUAAGCGAAAGUGAUAAGUAUCCCCACCUGGGGAGUACGUUCGCAAGAAUGAAACUC